UACAGAGGUCUCGAGCGUUGUUCGGAUUCAUUGGGCGUAAAGGGUGCGUAGGUGGCGCUGUAAGUCAGGUGUGAAAUUUCGGAGCUUAACUCCGAAACUGCAUUUGAUACUGCGGUGCUUGAGGACUGGAAAGGAGACUGGAAUUUACGGUGUAGCAGUGAAAUGCGUAGAUAUCGGGAAGAACACCCGUGGCGAAGGCGGCUCUCUGGGACGGUACUGACGCUAAGGCGCGAAAGCGUGGGGAGCGAACAGG
rnacentral:rRNA from 1 species